rnacentral:lncRNA from 1 species
AUCAGAGAGGGUUAAAAUAUAAUCUAUGUUAUAAUCAGGUUCUUUGUCUCAAGGCUUCUCCGAGUCAUUUCUCAAGAUGGAUCAACAGAAAAGAAAUACUCCGGAGGACAAAGUUUGGCAAGAAAACCAGAUGUCUUCCAUUUACACAUAAUGCUGGACCAGGACAUGUAUAUCCAUUCUUCAGAGGAAGAAAAAGUAAAAGACCAGGAGAGCAGCCGGUGAUGGAGGAUGCAUUAUAAGCUGAAAUCUGAAUCAUUAUAAUUACACACAGUUCGUAAGUACAAAUGGUACCCGUUUCUUGGCAGAUUAAAAAGCCAAGUGAUGAGAAAUAUUGCUGAGCUAAACAUGCCUGU